rnacentral:tRNA from 1 species
UAAGGGAGACCUUCCUCUGCACCAAAUCCUUGAGAUGGGAUAGUAUAGGGGGUUAACCUAGGGUCGAUUGAGGUUUAGACACAUAGGUCUGAUUGGCUUUCAAACUAUCUAGGGAAUGGAUAUGGGCUAUUAGCUCAGGUGGUUAGAGCGCACCCCUGAUAAGGGUGAGGUCCCUGGUUCGAGUCCAGGAUGGCCCACCUUAAAGAAAGCGAGGGAAUAAAUGAAAAGGUAAAGAAGUAAUUUUGCUUUUUUUAGUUUUUGUUCUGGCUUUUUCUGGGGGUUUAGCUCAGUUGGUAGAGCGCCUGCUUUGCAAGCAGGAUGUCAACGGUUCGAGUCCGUUAACCUCCACUGGCUUUAGAGUAUUUUAUUAAUUGUUUCAGCAUCUCAUUUCAAGUAGGGUUGAACUAAUUGAGAGAGACUGCUGGAAGAUUUUCCAGUUAGAACCUUGAAAACUGCAUAGUAACUUGUCAGGUAGAAGCAGUAAGUAGUGAAUGAUUUUAGUAGGGAUACUAGGAGUCAUUCACUGAGGACUGAGUCACAGACAUUAAUGUAUAACUUGUUAAAAGUUGGAAAUAGU